rnacentral:lncRNA from 1 species
CAUUUUUAAAGCCCCUCAGGUGAUUCAGUGCAGCCCGGGCAAGAACCCAGCUAUGCUCUGAGAAGUGAGUGGGCAGCAUCUAAUUGCUCUUCAUAAAAAUCCUGCUGUUUUCAGCCCCAGCCCACCCUGGUCUUCCCACAGACAAUGGCCACUCCCAUGCCUGAGCCAUCCCAGAUCCCCAGUUGGAGGAACCAUCCUUUACAGCUGACUGACUCACCAGUCCCUAAUGCUGGUCAGAUGUCCUGAACAAGGAAAGCCGUGAUUUCUGCGACCAGAGAGAAUCGGUCAGUCACGGUGUCCCUCAGCCAAAAUGAACUCAGCCUAUUGUCUCCGGAGAGCUGGUAAAUCGGCAGCUGAAGAAACAUACAGUUCUGUGUUUCAAAAUGCAAAAGACCACAUUUCCCUGACCUCGGGUGCUCGCUGACACAUUCCCAACCAAUGACUAUAAAUCUGCUCCUGGAUUGUGGCAUGUAAGAAUGUAAGAUGUGCCGGCUUCCCCUCCGCCCUCCGCCCUCCGCCAUGAUGAUAAGUUUCCCGAGGCCUCCCCAGC